rnacentral:tRNA from 1 species
GGAGCCGAAGCCCCUAUAUUGUGAUUGUCCGGCUUCGGCCGAACUAUGGGGAUAAACGCGCACGUAAUAAGCGGACUGGACCCGGGUGCGAUUCCCGGCGGCUCCACCA